UCCACGGGGUGUCUCCCCCACCAUCGUCACGCCUCUGACCCUAGCUGGGGUAUAAAUGUCGAGCGAACAAUACAAGGCUAGUUUCCACAGAGAAUCGAAUUUGUUCAGAGGCUUUCCACAGCUUCCUCGGACAGCUGCCAAAAACUGACAAUGUCCAGGUUGCUAGUCUUAGUUCUGCUGUUGUGUUCAGCCACCUUUAUCGCAAGCCAGGGCCCAGGAGGCAUGGACCCCAUGAUGAUGAUGUUUAUGCUGAUGCAGCACCACGACAUGAGCAAAAUCUGGCCACUCAUGCUCAUGAUGCAGAUGGGCGGGGGAGGCGGCAACGCGGGAGGAGCCGACCCAUCAGCGGGCGGGGCAGGAGGGGGCGCCAUGAUCUAAAUCCACAUAUUCACCAUCCAAUCCUGUCUUCAACAACCACUUAAACUCACAUCAGCGUGUUCAUACAAUCCACUCAGCCUCGCACACAUCCAUCCAAAGAUGAGACCACUCUUGUUGACUUGUUCAAACUAUUUGUUCAGAUACACUUUAUACAAGCAAUCCUUUUCUUCCUAUGUAAAUUUUUUUUAAACUGUUGCCCAUCGCUAUCAAAACUGUUCGAUAUGUUUUAUGUGUUACAUGCAAUACGAGAUAUUUUAUUCUAAAUAUUUAUUUAAUAAAAUAUUUUAACCACCUCUGGACUAUGA